GACAGAGGGUGCAAACGUUGUUCGGAAUUACUGGGCGUAAAGCGCGCGUAGGCGGCCCGGUAAGUCCGUUGUAAAAGUCGAAGGCUCAACCUUCGAAAGCCGAUGGAUACUGCCGGGCUAGAGUACGGAAGAGGCGAGUAGAAUUCCUGGUGUAGCGGUGGAAUGCGCAGAUAUCAGGAGGAAUACCCAUAGCGAAGGCAGCUCGCUGGGACGUUACUGACGCUGAGGCGCGAAAGCGUGGGGAGCGAACAGG
rnacentral:rRNA from 1 species